GACGAACGCUGGCGGCGUGCUUAACACAUGCAAGUCGAACGGAAAGGCCCCCUUGUGGGGUACUCGAGUGGCGAACGGGUGAGUAACACGUGAGUAACCUACCCUUGACUUUGGGAUAACUUCAGGAAACUGGGGCUAAUACCGGAUAGGAGCUCCUGCUGCAUGGUGGGGGUUGGUAAGUUUCGGCGGUUGGGGAUGGACUCGCGGCUUAUCAGCUUGUUGGUGGGGUAGUGGCUCACCAAGGCUUUGACGGGUAGCCGGCCUGAGAGGGUGACCGGCCACAUUGGGACUGAGAUACGGCCCAGACUCCUACGGGAGGCAGCAGUGGGGAAUAUUGCACAAUGGGCGGAAGCCUGAUGCAGCAACGCCGCGUGCGGGAUGACGGCCUUCGGGUUGUAAACCGCUUUCGCCUGUGACGAAGCGUGAGUGACGGUAAUGGGUAAAGAAGCACCGGCUAACUACGUG
rnacentral:rRNA from 1 species